AUUAAUUUUCAAUACUUCAAAAUGGUGAGAAUUAUUAGGAACCGUAUAAUUAAAAUUAGUGGCAUGUCCUUUCUAUCCUUCUCACACAUACAAGUUUAUUUGUGACGUCACGAAUACCUCCUUACAUAUUCUACCUUUCUAUUAAUAAGUCUGAACUUCCAGUGUCCAAACGCGAGAUGACACUACGAAUACGUAAAUUUUUCUAAUUUAAUUAUAUUUAGAAAUAUAUGAAUGUUUCAAAGAAAUUGACAGAAGUGUUGGGAAAGCAUAUAAAAAUAAUUGCUAAUAGACUUUGAUAAUAUAUUGUGGAAUAUCUCCAUAUAAUGGCAUCAAAUCAGGU